CUUAUUUCUUGCUUGGAGGAUAAAGGAGAGGGAGAAAGUAUUGCUCUUAGAUUUUAGAAAAAAAUGUAGAAAGAAGAGGAGAGCAUUUACAUUUUAAAGAUAAAUGGAUUGGAGGGAGGGAACAAAAUGGCAGAGGAGUAGGUGGAUUUGGAGUACAUUUCUCUCAAAAGAUGCAUCAGCAAUAUGCCCUCAGACACAGAAGUGCAUGCAGAAUACCAGCUGAGAGUGGACAGGAGUACCUGACCAGAGGAAAAGAAUAUAUAGAACUAUUCAGAACUCAAAACUCAGUAAGAAAAAACUAGGGGGAAAAACAGGAGUGUUAGUAGGACUGGACCUGCCCUUGGUGGGUGGAGGAACUGAAGCAGGGGUCUGAUCCCCUCACUGGGGCAAUUGUCUGAGUCAGAGGAGGCACAUUUAAGGCUUAUGGAAUGAGAAUCAGACAGUCCUUGCCACAGCCAUACAUAUCCCGGACAUGGACACAGGUCUCCUGGAAGGCACAGCAGCUGGGAGCUGGACUUUAGGGAUUGUGGAACAAUUCCAGGGUGAGAGCUGCUGUUGACUGCAGAGAAUGGAUUGAGAGGAGAGAUAUAUUUUCUAUGAGCAUCUGAGAUCAAGAACCAGGAACCAGAAUUUCACAAUGACAAUCAAGUGAUGAUCCACUGGAAACCAUUCAUGUGACUCUAUUCUAAGUGUCAAGUAUUUUAAAACUAUAUCAAGCAAAGAAACCAAUCUCCUCCUCUGAAGCCUCAUGCAGUAAAAGGUAGAGGAUUAAAAGCUAAAGUAUAUCAGAUAUUAUUUACAGUUUACUUCACUUAUUCCCCAUUUUCCAUCCAGAAGUUGCAUCUGCGCCUACUUGAGGCUUGUACCUUCUUUUAGUGACUUGAAUUUUCCUGACAUCAGAGGAAUACUCAAAAAUACAAAGACUUUGAAAAACUUUGGAGUUUUCCACUGGGUCCUGUCUCACCUAUAGUUCAAGACAGAGGAUAUUACAAAGAAAAGUUGGGGAAAAAAAGAAUCUUUGUAAGUCUUUAUACUUUGAAUAUGCACAAAAAUUAAACUUCACUUGUUAUAGUUAA